CAGUCGCCGCGGGAAUACGAAGGGUGCAAGCGUUAAUCGGAAUUACUGGGCGUAAAGCGUGCGUAGGCGGUGAGUUAAGUCUGCUGUGAAAUCCCCGGGCUCAACCUGGGAAUGGCAGUGGAUACUGGCAAGCUAGAGUGUGUCAGAGGAUGGUGGAAUUCCCGGUGUAGCGGUGAAAUGCGUAGAGAUCGGGAGGAACAUCAGUGGCGAAGGCGGCCAUCUGGGACAACACUGACGCUGAGGCACGAAAGCGUGGGGAGCAAACAGGAUUAGAUACCCCCGUAGUCCCUGUCUCUUAUAC
rnacentral:rRNA from 1 species